AGCAGCCGCGGUAAUUCCAGCUCCAAUAGCGUAUAUUAAAGUUGUUGCAGUUAAAAAGCUCGUAGCUGAAUUUCGGGGUUAGUAGGUUGGUCAUGCCUCCGGUAUGUACUGGUCUCACUGAUUCCUCCUUCCUGAUGAACCGUAAUGCCAUUAAUUUGGUGUUGCGGGGAAUUUGGACUGUUACUUUGAAAAAAUUAGAGUGUUUAAAGCAAGCUAACGCUUGAAUACAUUAGCAUGGAAUAAUGAAAUAGGACGUUCGAUCCUAUUUUGUUGGUUUCUAGGAUUGACGUAAUGAUUAAUAGGGAUAGUUGGGGGCAUUAGUAUUCAAUUGUCAGAGGUGAAAUUCUUGGAUUUAUUGAAGACUAACUACUGCGAAAGCAUUUGCCAGGGAUGUUUUCAUUAAUCAAGAACGAAAGUUAGGGGGAUCGAAGACGAUCAGAUACCGUCGUAGUCUUAACCAUAAACUAUGCCGACUAGGGAUCGGAUGAUGUUAAUUUUUUAAUGACUCAUUCGGCGCCUU
rnacentral:rRNA from 1 species